UUCGGCAGCAUCUUCCCCACUCCAUCAGCGGUAUGCGGGGGUGCAGUUGACAAACGAGGGCGGCGUCAGCGUCGUCCUUAUUUGUCACUAUUGUCCGCCCGUUUCCCACAGCUGGAGAGACAAAGGCCAAAGAACAUAUGAGCAGGCCAAGAAGAAGACGCCUUGUGGGGGAAGAGGAUGAGGAGGGGUUGCUCGUUUCUUUUCCAUCUUGAUGACCAUUGCCAUCGCGGCCAUUGUGGGGAUUCAAUCACUCGAAGCAGAUUGCGUGGCCCGGUGGUCUCCGGAGCGACACAAACAAACAAACAGGGAAACGGGGGACUGCCGCUUAUCCAAAGUGCCGCUUGGUGGGUACAACCCCAUCCUUUCGAAUGAAUUCUGAUUCAACAUACGCACAACAGUGAGAAAAUUGGCCGUCCACUAAAAGUUUGCAGGGCCAUGUAUACGCACACACGAUGGGAAAGGCCACUGGUGGGAUGGAGACAGAUUGGACCACUGGCGUGUGGGAUUGGACGCUGACAACCUCCUGUUGUUUGUUUCUUUGGAUGCUUUAAAGCAAGCAUGGGAGCUGCAGAGGAUACGAAAGUGAGGAGUGUCUUGGCAGCCCUGAUGCUGCUGUUCCUGCUGAGCUACACCAACAGCAUCGCCGUGGGCCCAGAAGCCCCCCGCUUGGCCCUGGCCUCGGGCCCAAAGUCCCCAGGGCAACACUAUCGCCUAAAGAGAGGCUGGAUCUGGAAGCAGCUGUUUGUCCCGGAGGAAGACCCCACGCCUCGCGUCAUCGGCCAGCUGAAAUCGGAUUCUGACCGCGGGGAGUUUGGCAUCCAAUACAUCCUCUCAGGGGAAGGCGCCGGCGACGCUUUUGAGAUCGACGAGUACUCUGGCGAGAUCCGUACGCUGAAGAAGCUGGAUCGCGAGGAGAAGGCUUUCUACGUGCUCCAAGCGCAAGCCAUCAACAGGCUCUCACAGGAGCCAGAGGAGCCCCAGUCUGAGUUUAUCAUCAAGGUGCAGGACAUCAACGACAAUGCGCCGAGAUUCCACAACCAGCCAUAUGUGGCCAGCGUCCCUGAAAUGUGCCCGACCGGCACCACCGUGUUCCAGGUGACGGCCACAGAUGCUGAUGACCCCACGUUUGGCAACAACGCCAAGCUCAUCUACUCCAUUUUGCAGGGGGAGCCCUACUUCUCUGUGGAGCCAAAGACAGGCAUCAUUGUGACCUCCUGGCCCGACAUGGACCGCGAGGCAAAGGAGCAGUACCUGGUUGUGGUGCAGGUGAAGGACAUGCUGGGCAUGAGCGGCGGCUACUCGGCCUCCGCCACCGUCAGCGUCAGCCUGAGCGACAUCAACGACAACGGGCCCAUCUUCCAGCACCAUUUAUACACCUUCGCCAUUCCCGAAGACGCUGUGGUGGGAACCACAGUGGGCAGGGUCAAGGCGGAUGAUGCCGACAUCGGCGGCAAUGCCAAGAUGAACUACAGCCUGCAGGUGGACCUGGAGGAGAACGCCACCUUCACCGUCCACACCGAUCCUCUGACACAAGAGGGAAUCAUCCUGCUGGCCAAGCCGCUGGACUACGAGACCAAGCGUCGCUACGUGAUGGUGGCGGAGGCCAUCAAUGAGGAAGUGGACCCUCGCAUCCUGUCCCCGGACGAGUUCUCGGACCGGACCACGCUGAAGAUCAUGGUGGAUGACGUGGAUGAGCCGCCUGUCUUCCUUUCGCCAGUCUACGAGUGGAAGGUGGCGGAGAACGCAGGGGUGGGGAUCGCGGUCGGCGCGGUCAGCGCCCGGGACACCGACGCCGCCAACGAUGCCGUCAGAUAUUCCUUGGAUAAACACAGCAGUGCAGGAAAGGCUUUUUCGAUCGACCCACACGACGGAACCAUCACCAUCGCCAAGCCUCUAGACCGAGAGACGUCCGCCUGGCACAACCUGACCGUCGUCGCCAAAGAAACCACAUUGAAGCGUUUAUCCUCCUCGGUCCUGGCGUCCAUCAAGGUGCUGGACAUAAACGACAACGCGCCGCAGCUGGCUGGCCACUACCAGCCGUAUAUCUGCGAGGGGACGCAGGCAGGGGAGCUCAUUCAGCUGCUCAGCGCCACUGAUCCCGACCAGCCUCCUGAGGGUCACCACUUCUACUUCUCCAUGGUCCCCGACAAGCACAUCAAUCCGAACUUCACCAUUCGCGAUCACCAAGACAACACGGCGGGCAUCGUGGCACGCAGGAGCACUUUCACCCGCAGGGACCGGGGACGCUACCUCCUGCCCGUGGUGGUGACCGACAGCGGCUCGCCCGCCUUGUCCAGUACCGCUACGCUGACCAUCAGCGUGUGCAGCUGCCAGCCCGCCGGCCACUGUCCCUCCGGGGGAGUGGAGGCCCUGGCUCUAUCCAUGGGGGUCAGCCUGCAGACCUUCGUCACGCUUCUCGUGUGCCUGCUCUUGGCCGCAGUAUCGUCAGUCCUCACGCUGCUACUUUGGCGGCACAGACGCAAGCAAAAGGCGGCGCAGAAGAAGGCCAGUGAGCUGGAACUGCCCGACACCGUGUCGCAGAAGGUGUUGUACUACGCCCAGAGCGGUGGGCCGGGCCUGGACGCGGGCCUCCCGGUGGUCCCGCUGCGCCCGCACUCCAGGAGGCGCCAGAAGCGGCUGGCUCGGGACGAGGUCCGGGCCAGCAUCCGCAUGUCCCUGCGAGAGUCUCACCUCGUGGGGCCCGAGGACGACGUCUUCAGGCAGUUCAUCCUGGACCGGCUGGACGAGGCCGACGGGGACCCGUGCGCCCCGCCUUUUGACUGCCUGACGGCAUACGCGUACGAAGGCUCGGGAUCCUCGGCCGGCUCGCUCAGCUCGCUCGAGUCGUGCGGUUUGGAGAGUCCGGCCUCGACUCCCAGAUCUCCCUGGGCCAGACUGUCGCCCUGGUACGGCGGAGUGGAGGAUGACACAGUCUUUUGAGGAGCCCAAUCCCAGAUCGCGAAAGGAUGGCGGGGAGGACAGUUCGCGCCAUCACGCACCAUGUGGAAACACUCCUGCUUGCUGUACCGCAGCCUCAAUGAGAAAUCUUGAAACGUCGUCGACCCAUUUGAAGGCGUGUGCAUCCAAAGGCGUGUCGUCCUCCGAUGUUCAAAGGCUUCGGGAAGACGCCUCCCCCUCCGCUCGCGCCGUCACCCGCGCCGGCGCCGUCCGCGUUGCCGUACAGGUCGGCCAGCUUCUUGAAGCGGGGCCCCCAGUUGCUGAGGGAACUUCUUGAAGCUUUCAUGCCUGCCAGGCAGCCUGGAAACCAGCCAAUGUUCAGUCAACGAGCCGACGAGGAAUGAGCCCAGUUUGAAGAUAUCAGGCGCCACCGGUCCAGUUGGGCAGUCCAUAAAAUUGGAUCCACGUCAACGGCCUGCUGCUCCAGCGGGUGAUCAUAGCGCAACCUCCAGAGGACGAAAAAGGGAAAAUCCCACUCCGACAAAAUGUGCAACUGAAGAAGCCUUUCGGAUGAAAGGUCAAACGUCUUCGACAAGCAAGAAAAGUCCAGAUGCUCCGCAGCAACCUUUGCGAAAAUGCAGUGACUGUUUCUCACGGAGCACAAAAGACACUUGAGCAUUGAUUUGACUGCGUCAAUUCCACUCAAUGUUAAAAUGCGAAAAUAAGGGGGGGGGGGUAAUUUUAGUAGCCGCUUCAAAUCUGUUUGCUGUUUUUCCUAACGUGAAUAACAAGGAAAGCGCGUCUUGUUCCUUUUUCAUGAUUUCCUUCCCGUAUCCUCAAAUAACCUCAAAAGGUCUUUUGUAAACUUGUGCCAAACUGUCACUGCGGUCCUCAAAAAAUGACUUGCUCUUCUCCUUCUUCUACCUUUCACAAACAAUUAGUCUGUUUCGCCGGCAAAACGCUGUCCGCCGUCAAGCCCCAAAAGAUCACAAAUGGUUGCCGUGUGAAGACGGAAGAUAGACAGCGCUCCAACGAGACGACAGACCGCGGUGGACGUCUGAGCUUAGACGAGAACGAUUUUAAGUGCUACAUCACGUCCUAAUUGGCCCUCGUGGGGAUUGAGCACCUACGCGGCUAAAUGAAGGCGCCGGAUAGUUGUCAGGAUGCUUCAUU